UCUUCUUUCCAAUGCAAUUGGUUUCAUUUAAUUUGAACAUCUGGGUAAAGAGUUAUGAUCAAUUUACUCCAACCUAUCAGCCUGAAAACAACAGAGGAUAGCUGCGUCUUUCUCUCUUUCUCCAGGGGUAUUUUAGUCUUUCCCACCUCUAUAUAUACACACAAAAACACGAGAAUCAGUCAUAAUUUAGCAACAUAUGCUUGUUUUCUCUCAAAAUUCAUCAAGAACAAGUAUAGAGUUUUCAUAGGAGCUUCAAGAAUUAAGGAAUUUCACCGUUAAUCUUCAAGAAUCUUUCAUCUAAGGUUCAGCAGCACGAGCUCCAGAGCACCAGUAGCAUUUCAGUUUCAGCAGCAGAGUCGCAAUGAGUCCUCAUACUUCGAGGACUAUUACGCUAUCAUUACUUAUUUCAGUUGCUUUCAGUAUAUGGAGUUAGUUGGGAACAUGUCCCCUCAACUCCUUAUUCAGACAUAUGUAGAGGCUUUCAAAUUUGAUUCAGACUUUAGUAUUUUCAGUUAUGGUAUUGUGAUACCGUAUUUCAGAUGUUAUGACUUUAUUAGAUGUGAACCUUGUGGCCUUACAGCUC